CGAACCUCAAGCACUGCUUGGUGUUGGGCGAGGUCCCACGGGGACCCGCCCGCAACCCGUAGGCGGCAGUCGCCCGCGCCCCCAGCGUAGCAAGCCUUCGCACCCGCUCGGGGACGGCGCGGCGGCCGGUCCAACGAACCCAUCUAAAA
rnacentral:misc_RNA from 1 species